CCCAAUUUUCAUAGAGUUUGAUCUUGGCUCAGGACGAACGUUGGCGGUGCGCCUAAUGCAUGCAAGUCGAACGGGCGAAGGGACUUCGGUCCCCUAGCUAGUGGCAGACGGCUGAGUAACACGUAAAUGAUCUGCCCCGAAGUGAGGGACAACCCCGAGAAAUCGGGCCUAAUACCUCGUAAGUUCAUUGGAUCACGGUCCAGUGAAGAAAGGUUUCGGCCACUUUGGGAGGAGUUUGCGGCCUAUCAGGUAGUUGGUGGGGUAAUAGCCUACCAAGCCGAAGACGGGUAACCGGUGUGAGAGC
rnacentral:rRNA from 1 species